rnacentral:lncRNA from 1 species
GUCAGCCAGUUACAAAUCCACUGAGUGGUAGCAUAGUCAAGACCGCAUUUUACCAGCUUCUUUACAAGAAUAUCAUGGGGCACCUUGUCGAAUGCCUUGCUGAAAUCAAGGUAGGCUACAUCCACUGCGUUCCCUUCAUCUACCAGGCUUGUAAUUCUGUCAAAAAACGAGAUCAGGUUAGUCUGACAUGACUUAUUUUUCAGAAAUCCAUGCUGACUAUUGGUGAUCACAGCAUUCCUUUCUAGGUGCUCACAGACUGUUUGCUUAAUGAUCUGCUCCAGAAUCUUCCCUGGUAUUGAUGUCAGAC